GUCACUUUAGCGGCACAUACACUCAGCCUGGAACAUUACAGAGAUGAUUAGCAUGACACGUGCUCAAUGAUGGUAUGCAAAUUCAUAAAGACUUCCAUAUUAUU